rnacentral:rRNA from 1 species
GUGGGGAAUUUUGGACAAUGGGCGAAAGCCUGAUCCAGCCAUGCCGCGUGUGUGAAGAAGGUCUUCGGAUUGUAAAGCACUUUAAGUUGGGAGGAAGGGUUGUAGAUUAAUACUCUGCAAUUUUGACGUUACCGACAGAAUAAGCACCGGCUAACUUCGUGCCAGCAGCCGCGGUAAUACGAAGGGUGCAAGCGUUAAUCGGAAUUACUGGGCGUAAAGCGCGCGUAGGUGGUUCGUUAAGUUGGAUGUGAAAGCCCCGGGCUCAACCUGGGAACUGCAUCCAAAACUGGCGAGCUAGAGUACGGUAGAGGGUGGUGGAAUUUCCUGUGUAGCGGUGAAAUGCGUAGAUAUAGGAAGGAACACCAGUGGCGAAGGCGACCACCUGGACUGAUACUGACACUGAGGUGCGAAAGCGUGGGGAGCAAACAGGAUUAGAAACCCUAGUAGUCC